UUUAUAAUCUGGCACCUUCGGUGUCCGAGUUGUAAUCUCUAGAAAUGUUUUCCGCGUUGGACCGCACACAAGUCUGUUGGAAUACAGCGGCAUAGUGGUGAGACCCCCGUAUAUGGUGCGGACGCCCAGCGCUUUGUGAUACAUUUUCGAAGAGUCGAGUUGUUUGGGAAUGCAGCUCAAAUUGGGUGGUAAAUUCCAUCUAAAGCUAAAUAUUGGCGAGAGACCGAUAGCGAACAAGUACCGUGAGGGAAAGAUGAAAAGCACUUUGGAAAGAGAGUUAACAGUACGUGAAAUUGUUGGAAGGGAAACGCUUGAAGUCAGACUUGCUUGCCGAGCAAUCGGUUUGCAGGCCAGCAUCAGUUUUCCGGGAUGGAUAAUGGUAGAGAGAAGGUAGCAGUUUCGGCUGUGUUAUAGCUCUCUGCUGGAUACAUCUUGGGGGACUGAGGAACGCAGUGUGCCUUUGGCGGGGGUUUCGACCUCUUCACACUUAGGAUGCUGGUGGAAUGGCUUUAAACGACCC
rnacentral:rRNA from 1 species